UCUUUUGAAAAGCCUCAGCCUUUGUCUUCCAUUUCCCAUUUCUUGCCUUGUUGGAAACCCUAGCCUUCUCAUUUUCUUGCUUGUGAUGGUAGAUUAAUAGAAGUAGAGAGGAUGAGAAGAGAAGAUGGCAAGGUACUCGACUCUUAGGUUGUGCUUAAGACUUUGUUGAUCAGCCAGUGCUAGGAUGGAUCCAUUAGAGUUGUCGUUUUCUUGUAAAUUUUUAAUAACCUGUAUUUAUACCUUGGAUUCUCGUAUAUGUAAGUCUGUGUUGUAUUUCUAUAUCAUUUUAUUAUGAUUUCCUGUUCUGCUUGAUAGAGUUGACUCUGACCAGGUCAAACUUGAGGCCUUGCACCUAGUGGGGCCCAGCCCCGUUGGAUGCGGCCGAUCUGUCAGCGGGCUCGGCUUUGGGGCUGGGGCGUGACAGUUAUCCGCCCAUAUCGGAAGGCUCACCCAAAAAUUGGGAGAGCUUGAAUAAUUUAUAUGAGGCCCCGUGACCGGACCUUAUAUAAAAUAUGGAGUUGGUUUUUAAAAACGGGCCGGAUCUUAUUUUUAUUGUUAAAAGCCCAAGUUAUAUAAUAUAUAUAGUUAUUAGUUUUAUAAAGAGUUAUCAUAGUUUGAAUUUUAGUUGUUGUAACGGAACAAAGAUGUAUAUUUGGCACUUUGAUUUUAAUUUGUU